rnacentral:rRNA from 1 species
AGUAACGCGUGGGUAACCUGCCCUGUACAGGGGGAGUAACAGUCAGAAAUGACUGCUAAUACCGCAUAAGACCACAGCACCGCAUGGUGCAGGGGUAAAAACUACCGGUGGUACAGGAUGGACUCGCGUCUGAUUAGCUGGUUGGUGAGGUAACGGCUCACCAAGGCGACGAUCAGUAGCCGGCUUGAGAGAGUGAACGGCCACAUUGGGACUGAGACACGGUCCAAACUCCUACGGGAGGCAGCAUG